GAUUGGAGUCUGCAACCCGACUCCAUGAAGCUGGAUUCGCUAGUAAUCGCGCAUCAGCCACGGCGCGGUGAAUACGUUCCCGGGCCUUGUACACACCGCCCGUCAAGCCAUGGAAGCCGGGAGUGCCUGAAGUGCGUGACCGCAAGGAGCGUCCUAAGGCAAUACCGGUGACUGGGGCUAAGUCGUAACAAGGUAGC
rnacentral:rRNA from 1 species